CAAAAUUUUGAUGGAAUUUUUAAAUGUUUAUUUUACAGAGUGUUGGCACUGAUAAGGGCAGUAUACCUGAUCUAACCAAGGCUCCGUGUACUUUGCUAGAAGAAAUGGAAAAUCACCUUACA